GCCAGUGUGGCAUAGUGGUUUGAGUGUUGGACUAAGACUCUGGAGACCAGGGUUUUGAAUCCUGGUUUGGCU